rnacentral:piRNA from 1 species
UGCUUAUGUCUCAACUUUCGAGUAUUGCC